rnacentral:rRNA from 1 species
UUGAACGCUGGCGGCAUGCUUUACACAUGCAAGUCGAACGGCAGCGCGGGCUUCGGCCUGGCGGCGAGUGGCGAACGGGUGAGUAAUACAUCGGAACGUGCCCAGUAGUGGGGGAUAGCUCGGCGAAAGCCGGAUUAAUACCGCAUACGACCUGAGGGUGAAAGCGGGGGAUCUUCGGACCUCGCGCUAUUGGUGCGGCCGAUGGCAGAUUAGCUAGUUGGUGGGGUAAAGGCCUACCAAGGCGACGAUCUGUAGCUGGUCUGAGAGGACGACCAGCCACACUGGGACUGAGACACGGCCCAGACUCCUACGGGAGGCAGCAGUGGGGAAUUUUGGACAAUGGGCGAAAGCCUGAUCCAGCAAUGCCGCGUGUGUGAUGAAGGCCUUCGGGUUGUAAAGCACUUUUGGCGGGAACGAAAAGGACUGUGCCAAUACCACGGUUCGAUGACGGUACCCGCAGAAUAAGCACCGGCUAACUACGUG